rnacentral:rRNA from 1 species
ACGAACGCUGGCGGCGUGCUUAACACAUGCAGGUCGAACGGUGAAGCGCCUUCCUUUUUGGUGGGUGUGGAUGAGUGGCGAACGGGUGAGUAACACGUGAGUAACCUGCCCCCUUCUUCUGGAUAACCGCAUGAAAGUGUGGCUAAUACGGGAUAUUCUGGGUCUGUCGCAUGAUGGGUCUGGGAAAGAUAUUGUUUCGGUGGGGGAUGGGCUCGCGGCCUAUCAGCUUGUUGGUGGGGUGAUGGCCUACCAAGGCGGUGACGGGUAGCCGGCCUGAGAGGGUGGACGGUCACACUGGGACUGAGACACGGCCCAGACUCCUACGGGAGGCAGCAGUGGGGAAUAGUGCACAAUGGGCGCAAGCCUGAUGCAGCGACGCCGCGUGAGGGAUGGAGGCCUUCGGGUUGUGAACCUCUUUCGCCAGUGAAGCAGGCCUGCCUCGUUUGUGGGUGGGUUGACGGUAGCUGGAUAAGAAGCGCCGGCUAACUACGUG